AUGUACAUUCUUACAAUAUAUCGCUAAUGCAUCGGAUCCCAUUAGAACAUAACAGUUAAGCAUGCUUAGGAUAGAGUAGUACUAGGAUGGGCAACCACCCGGGAAGUCCUAGUAUUUUACAUG
rnacentral:rRNA from 1 species